rnacentral:rRNA from 1 species
UUUUAUUAGAUAUUAUUAAUAAUAAAAUCUGCUCAAUGAAAAUUUUAAAUAGCCGCAAUUUGUGCUAAGGUAGCAUAAUCAUUUGUCUUUUAAUUUAAGACUAGAACAAAAGAUUUUACAUUUAAAUAAAUAUUUUUAUUUUAUUUAUUAAAAUUAUUUUUAAUGUAAAAAAACAUUAAUGAAUAAAAUAGACGAUAAGACCCUAUUGAACUUUACUUUAGUUUAACUGGGGCAGUUAAUUAAUUAUUAUUUUAAAUUAUAUAAAAUAAUAAAAGACCUAAUAUAAUUAAUUUUAUGAUUAAGUUACCAUAGGGAUAACAGUGUAAUAUUACUUUAAAGAUCUUAUUUAAAAUAAUGAUUGCAACCUCGAUGUUGACUUAAUUACCUUAAUUACGCAAUAGUAAUUAAAGGAAGUCUGUUCGACUUUUAAAAAAUUACAUGA